ACAGUCACCACCUCCCUCACUCUGUCACUAGUCACCCCCUCACUCUAGUGACAAUGAGGGAGGGGGUGACUGGUGACAGAGUGAGGGAGGGAAGUGGUGACUAGUGACAGAGUUAGGGAGGGAAGGGGUGACUAGUGACAGAGGGAGGGGUGACUAGGGACAGAGUGAGGGAGGUGGUGACUAGUGACAGUCACCACCUCCCUCACUCUGUCACUGUGUCACCCCCUCCCUCUGUCACUGGUCACCCACUCCCUCCCUCACUCUGUCACUAAUCAUCCCCUCACUCUGUCACUAGUCACCCUCUCCCUCACUCUGUCACUACUCACACCCUCCCUCACUCUGUCACUAGAGUGA